rnacentral:rRNA from 1 species
GACGAACCGUGCGAACGUUAUUCGGAAUCACUGGGCUUAAAGGGCGCGUAGGCGGGUCUUCAAGUCAGGGGUGAAAGCCCCCAGCUCAACUGGGGAAGUGCCUUUGAUACUGGGGAUCUCGAGGGAGGUAGGGGCGUGCGGAACUUCCGGUGGAGCGGUGAAAUGCGUAGAUAUCGGAAGGAACACCGGUGGCGAAAGCGGCGCGCUGGAUCGCUUCUGACGCUGAGGCGCGAAAGCCAGGGGAGCAAACGGG